GAAAGUAAAACCCUUUUCCAACAUAAUAUGACAAUAACGCCCUGAGUCGCUUCAUCUCAUUUCUAAAGUUAAAGGAUUUUCUUUCCAACAGGACCUAAAAGAGGCGGAGGACACACUGUUUUCCUUGGUAAGUGGUUCCUUCCAUUUAGGCUGCGGAGCAAAGAUGUGCUACGUCAGUGGAGGAGAGAACGUCGAGUGACGCACAGUUUGAUUUCAUUUUAGCUGCCGGUGACAGGCGCGACUCGCAGGAGCUCUAUCAGAUAAAAAAAAGAGCCAGAGGACCAAAAGAAGAAACAUGGGAAAGAAGUCUGCAUCUUUGUUCUGAUGAACCCUCGUAAACAGGAUGAAACCGCUCAGCAACUUCAUCACGUGUCUACCCUGCUUGAUUAACUGAUGAAUUAGCCUGUGCAGUCAGAUCAUCUUUAAACAUGUCUGACAACAUAAAUCCACAAACCUUGUCAGAGGCAGAGACACAGUUGACAGUGGAGCAAGGUGACAAGCACAUUGAGCAGAGUAAUCUUCUUCAAUCACCUACGAAACAGACAUUCAAGUCAGCUGCAAAUGGCACUACUGCCGUUAUACCAGAGUCAGGGGACGAGUUCUCCAGCUCCUCUCAUCAGUCCGUUUCAGAGAAAGGAACAAAGGUCGCUGGUCAAAAGGCUAAAAAUACUAAAAAAACUAAAAGAAAGACAAAUAUGGCAACCUUGGACAAGAAUGCUGAAGACCAGAUUGUGAACCAGAAUAGGCAACCCGACCUAAAAGGCCAGGACUCUGCGCAAACUACUGCUGUUGUUAAGGAUGUCUGUUUUGGUUCUCAAAAGACCGAGACCAUACGUUCCGGUGUUGACCCACCGGAAGUGGAGCCUAUGGAGAUUGAGCAGUCUACCGAUGGGAAAGGAGAUGCCUCCCUUUCACCAACAAGUCCAGAUUUUAAGAUGGAACCAAAGGACAACACAAUAGUUGGAUCUGAGACAGAGAGCAAAGGUGCCAGUGUUGACCGACACGUGGAGCCUAUGGAGGUUGAGCAGUCUGCCCAAGGGAAAGGAGAUGCCUCCCUUUCACCAACUAGUCCAGAUAUUAAGAGGGACAACACAAGUGAUGCCUCUGAAACUCCGGCUGGACCGCCGCCAGAAAGGUAUCCAACAUUUUCUUCUAGUCAGAAGUCACUCAACACUCAUACUUAUU
rnacentral:lncRNA from 1 species